rnacentral:tRNA from 1 species
GCUAUUUUAGUUUAAUUAAAAAUUUUUGAUUUGUAAUCAAAGGAUUGUAAUAGCU